GCACAGGCAGAGGCCAGAAUAGUUUUGAAGUGAAUACUGAGAAAAAUCCAGGAUUUCUGUGAGUCAGGCAUCUGGGUCAGAAGACAAGAAUUUCCAGGGGAAGUCCUCAGUCAUCCUGGUGCUUCCCCAAGUGAUGGUGGGAAUCUGACACUCAGAGGGAAUGAAGGGAACUGGAGGAAGAGCCAUCCUUGAGACAGUACAGCAAAGGACUUGGCUGAGUUAUGUCUCUGUCCUAAAACUUCUGGGAAGGCAGGAUUUAAAGCCCUGAACUAGGGAAGUUGGCUGAAGAAAUCUCUUAUGUGUUCGAGGCCAGGGAGUUUGUCACCCAAUGGACUACAGAAGCCUAUCCAGUUGAAUAAGCUGUGGCCUCCUCUCUCCGGCCGACAGAGAACAGGUCAGGACUCUUCAUCCUGCUCUGAGACCUGAAGGAAACAUUCCCAAGUUCAUGUAUAAAGAGAAGAAUAUGCAGCAUGUAUGUCUAAUCUCCCCCUCAAGGCGACACACUUGAAAACAGAAAUCAAGAUUUAUCUCUCUAACUGUAAUCAUUCUAAAAGCCAGACAGAAUUAAUAGUGUUUCAUUUUGGGGGGAAAUUGUCUAAAGUUAAUAUAAAUUACUUAGGCUAUUAUUGAAAAAUCACAUAUAUAAAUCUGAUGUUUCUCUCAGGAUUGUGUUUGCAGAUUUAUAGACCCUAUGUAAUAUAAAUGAGAAUGAGGAAACAACGAUCUUAUUCAAUAUUCUCAUGCUGCACACAGUAAAUGGUCUAUAUCCACACCACUUUCUCUUUGCUCAGGCCACUCUGGCCUGCAGCUGCUCUCUGAAUCUACCAGGUUCUGUCCUGCGAUCCCUAAGUGGUGUAGCACAGGCUUUCUCUCGGAUGGAAGCCCUUUCAAUGUCCCUCCUUGUGAGUGACCUCCCUGAUUGCCUACUCAGCAUCACCCUCACCUCCAAACUCUCGCAGGUGUCCAAGCCCUUCGCUAUGGCUCAGCUCCAUCUGCCUGGGACAGCUUGGGUAUCACUACUAAAUUGCUUCAGAGGAACAUUUUGGAUUUUGUAUUCUUUCAGAUGUUGUAACAUUUUCAUUCACAUAAUGAGACGUCUUGGGAUGAAAACCAAGCCUAAGCAUGAAAUUCAUUUAUGUAUCACAUAUGCAUACCUGAAAUGUUAUAUAAUAUUUUUAGUGUGAAUAUAUUUUGACUAGGCCUGUCACAUCAAGUCAGGUAUAGAAUCUUUCCAUUUGUGGUCUCGUGUUAGCACUGAUGAGAACAUUUUCUAUUUCAGGACAUUUCAAAUGUCUCAUUUCUGAGUUAGGGAUGCUCAACCUGAAAUAGCCUUCGCUGGUUUUCCACUAGGCAGAGCUGCCCGAUAGGUGUGACUUAUGCAGCCACAUACAGCCCUACCCUCUAAGGAUCUACUCUUGGUUAUGCUCUGCCAUCACCCUUUUGAAUGCGUACUGCAUGAGGUCCAUCGGGAAACAGGAACAUGUGGCCAACGGAGCAGUUCACGUGUCCACUGUUCCUUUCUACCUCAUUUGCAUGUGGCUUUCUCAGUGUCCUAUGAAAAUAGAAUUCCAAAACAUGUGAAAGAUGAGUGAGACUCAAAGCCAAGUGCAUUUGUGAGUCAGCAGUGAGUAAGUACACUGACAGCCCCAAGAGGACAGAAAAAAAGGCAACUACAUUCUAAAUAGGAGCUAACUACCUAUCCCAGAUAGCAGGACGCAGAAAGAAAGCUGACACCACUUACAAUUCACUUUCCUUUUUUAUCAAGGUAGAAAAGUAGCAGGUAGAAUAUGGACAUCCCAUGGGGUGAAAUAAAACAACUGAUUGUUUGGGGUAGCAUUUUCACUGCAUAACUUUAGGGAUUCCAUAUGCAAGUUUAGAGGCCCCAUGUGAACAUUUAAAAAAAAAAAAAAACAAGCAUUGCAUAAUAUAAAAAUGAGAGUAAAUUUCAAAAUCAUUACUUAAUAUUUAAAAUAUUCUCCACACUGAAUUAUACUGAACAACAAAUUUUAAAAACGACCAUAAAUGAAGAGUCUGCAGAAAUACUGGUACUGUUUCCUGAAUUUUGAAUGAAGGGCUUCAGGCUUUCACUCUGCAUUGGAUCCAGCUAAUGAGACAGUGAGCCUGCCACUAUGACAGGAAUGUUCAGAACACAGGGCCUCUGCUUCAAGAACAGAUCUAUGUAAGUGUCGUACACAAUACCAUUUUGCGCUCGUUCAAUUUCAUUAAGUGUUUAUUAGACAUGAGGAAGAUGCAAUAAUACCAAAAGACCUUAGAAGCCAAGAAAACUCUUGUCCCCUUUUCUGCUCUGUGGGGGAUGUACCAUAGCCACAGAGCUACAUUUAGACAGGGGCAUAGACAAGGACCCAUCAGAGAACACCCGGGUCAAACUGGGUCCUAUGUUUGUUAGCUAUGUAAUCAAACAGAAGGGAAUGAACCCUGGUGAGUCUCAAUUUUCACUUUUGGGAAACACGGAUAAUAAAGCAUGUCAAAAGAUGAGGAAAGUGGAAGGCAAUUUGGAAAUAAGCUUGCUGUACAUUAAGUGUUUGUGUUUCAAAAGCUACCAGGUCUCUACAAAAGAUUAGCGGGAUAGCGGGUGGCCUCUCAGCAAGACCUGGGGAAGACAAGACGACCUAGGAGGAACAGAAACAACAAGGUCUACCAGUUGGAUGUCUGACACAGAAAACAUUUAAGAAUGAGUGUAAGCCUGUUUUCUUAUAGAACCCAAGACCACCUGCCCAGGGUAACACCACCCCAUCUUGGCUCUCCCACGUCAAUCAUCAAUCAAGACAGUACUGCACAGCCUUGUCUACAGCUUAGCUACAGCCAUUUCCACUGGAAAAAAAAUGGACUCAAAGCCCUGUGAGGUGGAGCACCAAUGCAAAGUCCUGGAGCACCUAUGACCUGCUGGCUGUUACAGUGUUUGACAGUAACAAUUUUGACAGCUUUUUGGAAAAUAACUGAAAUACAAUAAAAUGCGCACUUUAAAGUACGGUUUUUCCUCAGUGUUCCCAUGUGUAUUUACCUGUGAAACCAUCACAAGUCAAGAUGGUGGACACAGCCACUACUCGAAGUUGCCAGCUCUACCUAAUACCCACCCUUCUCUCUGCCCAUCCCCAUCCCACUUGAGCCACUGACAUCAUCAUUUCUGAGAGUAUGAAGUCACCCAGCAUGCAGUCUUCAUAGCUCUGCAUAACUGUUUGGAGAUGCAUACACAUUGUUGCAUGAAAUCAAUACUCAUUACCUUUUACUGCUAGACUUUCAGCAUGGGUGUGGACUUACAAGUGUGAAUUUAUCUUUUUCACUGUUGAUGGACAGUGGGGUUGGCUGAGGUUUGCAGCUAUUGUCAAGGGCACUGCUAUAUGAAGAUUCACAUGUAAGUUUUCAUGCAGACAACUUUCCUUUCUUCUGGGGCACAUACCUAGAAAUGGGAGAAUGUAGAUCAUGUGACAGGCACAUGUUUCCUUUUGAGGCAAACUGCUGAACUAUUUUCCAAAAUGGACAUGAUAUUUUAUAUUCCUAUUAACAGUACAUAAUAGAAAGUUUCAUUUCCUCUAUAGAAUUUUCAGCAUUUAGUAGGGUUUGUUUUAAUCAUAGCCUCUCUAAUAAGUCUAUUGUGUGAUUUCACUGGAGCUUUAAUUUGCAUUUCGCUAAUGAUUAACCCUAGUCAGCAUCUUUUCAUGUGCAUAUUUGACACCCAUGUUUCUUCCUUAGUGAUGUAUCUAUUCAAAUCAUUUGCCCAUUUUAGUGGAUUGUUUUCUUCAUGCAAUUUUAGAGUAAUUUGUAUAUUCUGAAUUGCAAAUCAGACAUAUGAGUUUAACUUUGC
rnacentral:lncRNA from 1 species